AGAGUUUGAUCCUGGCUCAGAACGAACGUUGGCGGCGUGGAUUAGGCAUGCAAGUCGAACGAGAACCCCGCAAGGGGGGAAAGUGGCGAAAGGGGCAGUAAUGCAUGGGUAAUCUACCCUGGGGACGUGGAUAGCCAUCCUAACGGGUGGGUAAUACACGGCGAUUCGGCGAGGGGGCAUCCUCUUGCCGGGAAAUGAAUUUCGCCUCGGAAGGAACUCAUGUCGUAUUAGCUUGUUGGCGGGGUAACGGCCCACCAAGGCGAAGAUGCGUAGCGGGUGUGAGAGCACGACCCGCGCCACUGGCACUGAGACACUGGCCAGACACCUACGGGUGGCUGCAGUCGAGGAUCUUCGGCAAUGGGCGCAAGCCUGACCGAGCGACGCCGCGUGUGCGACGAAGGCCUUCGGGUUGUAAAGCACUGUCGAGGGGGAGGAAGCCGAAAGGUUGACCUAUCCCUGGAGGAAGCACGGGCUAAGUUCGUGCCAGCAGCCGCGGUAAGACGAACCGUGCGAACGUUGUUCGGAAUCACUGGGCAUAAAGGGCGCGUAGGCGGGCCGUCAAGUCAGGGGUGAAAUCCUCCAGCUCAACUGGAGAACUGCCUUUGAUACUGACGGUCUCGAGUGAGGUAGGGGUGUGCGGAACUGAUGGUGGAGCGGUGAAAUGUGUUGAUAUCAUCAGGAACUCCGGUGGCGAAGGCGGCACACUGGACCUUUACUGACGCUGAGGCGCGAAAGCCAGGGGAGCAAACGGGAUUAGAUACCCCGGUAGUCCUGGCCCUAAACGAUGGGUACUGGGUAGU
rnacentral:rRNA from 1 species